rnacentral:rRNA from 1 species
UGGCGGCGUGCCUAACCCAUGCAAGUCGAACGAGCAGAGAUCUUCGGAUCGAAGCGAGUGGCGGACGGGUGAGUAACGCGUGAACAACCAACCCUGCAACGAGGGGGACAACAGCUAGGAAACGGCUGCUAAUACCGCAUAAGACCACAGGGCCGCAUGGCCGAGGGGUCAAAGGAGCAAUCCGGUGCAGGACGGGUUCGCGUCCCAUUAGCCAGUUGGGGGUGUAACGGACCACCAAAGCAACGAUGGGUAGCCGAGCUGAGAGGCUGAACGGCCACACUGGGACUGAGAUACGGCCCAGACUCCUACGGGAGGCAGCAGGGGGGAAUAUUGGGCAAUGGGGGAAACCCUGACCCAGCAACGCCGCGUGAAGGAAGAAGGCCUUCGGGUUGUAAACUUCUGUGACAGGGGACGAAGGAAGUGACGGUACCCUGAGAGGAAGCUCCGGCAAACUACGUGCCAGCCGCAGC